rnacentral:tRNA from 1 species
GGAGUGGCUCAGCGGUAGAGCGCUCGACCAGCAUGUGCGAGGCUCUGGGUUCAAUCCUCAGCACCA